AUUGAACGCUGGCGGCAGGCCUAACACAUGCAAGUCGAGCGGAUGAAGGGAGCUUGCUCCUGGAUUCAGCGGCGGACGGGUGAGUAAUGCCUAGGAAUCUGCCUGGUAGUGGGGGAUAACGUCCGGAAACGGGCGCUAAUACCGCAUACGUCCUGAGGGAGAAAGUGGGGGAUCUUCGGACCUCACGCUAUCAGAUGAGCCUAGGUCGGAUUAGCUAGUUGGUGGGGUAAAGGCCUACCAAGGCGACGAUCCGUAACUGGUCUGAGAGGAUGAUCAGUCACACUGGAACUGAGACACGGUCCAGACUCCUACGGGAGGCAGCAGUGGGGAAUAUUGGACAGUGGGCGAAAGCCUGAUCCAGCCAUGCCGCGUGUGUGAAGAAGGUCUUCGGAUUGUAAAGCACUUUAAGUUGGGAGGAAGGGCAGUAAGUUAAGACCUUGCUGUUUUGACGUUACCAACAGAAUAAGCACCGGCUAACUGCGU
rnacentral:rRNA from 1 species